AGAGAGGAAGAGAAAUGGGUCACGUCAUGGACAACGCCUGAGCGACAGUCUGAGCCAAGCAGCUCACAAUCAUCAGCCAAAUAAACAGACAUCAUGUUUCAAGGCUCAAGCCAUGACACUGAAGGUUAAAGGUCACACACCAUGACGAGACAGGAUCAUCAGGCCCUUGCAUUAACAGCUCUUUUAAGGCAAGCUCCCCUUGUUUUGAGACUCAUUCCAACUGGAUGGUUUGCAGAUGUUUCCUCGCCGAGACUCAUCAGUGAACUUCACCCCAACUCGCUGCUGUACCAGGGCUUACGUGUGGGAGUGAUGGAGAGGACAGCAAGUCUCCUCAGAGUUGACACAUCUGAACCUCAUCCUAACCAUGUGCUCGGACUGCUCUUCACCUUGGUCCCGGCUGACUCCACGAUUACUACUUUUCCCGGGAAAGGAAUAAUGUGGUGACCCAUCAGGACGACUUAAUGAGCGACUUCAGUCUUGGCUGGUGAUUAGACUCCCUUGCCUCCUUCAGCACUCAGCUGUGAAUAAUCCUCCUGCAGUCCCUCAUUGAGCAUUCUGACUCAUCUAGAGAUUUCUUCAGAUGUCUGUCCACAAUGAAGGUGGCUCCAAUAACCACCUUUACUGCUAAAGUGUAGCGCACAGGUUCAAAUGCCAAAUGCACAAUACACUUAACAUGAAAGGAAGAAGGCGUCGAUACCGCAGAUCCCUCACCCGGAGCUUUGCCUUUAAAGAUCAAAAUGACAAGACUGUGGUCAGUACUCCACUUACGUGCUGUUAAAGAAGAUUUAAAUCCCAGAUAAUGAUAUGGGAUUUCAGACCUGGUUCCUGGCUACCUUUGAAGUCCAUUCACUUAAAUGAGCUACUUGAACUACGCAUUAACCCCAUGGAGGCUGCCUUGAACUUUAAAUAAUGACCUUCAUUUAACAGUUGGAACAUUUACCGUGCCUUUUAAAGAGUUACAGCCCAUAAAUCACAAACAGUAUAUUUUUACACAUGUAUUAACCUUCAACAUUCUCAAAAUAUUAGGACUUAUGUUUCCAUCUACAUUAACUUCAUCUUCAUUACACUGCAUGAAUGUCUGAGCUCACCUUUUAUAAUCACGUCCCAUUUCUAAAUAUAAAAACACCACUAAGACCGCACCAGUGAAAAUGGCACUACAUUUAUGGAGUAGAGUCCUUCAGCAAACUGCUGAAACUGGAAACUACUGCACUCUUCAGUUUUCACUUCCACGCAGCGUUAAUAGAAUUCCCUAUCACUCUAAAUUCUGUUACAGAUAUUUGUGGAAUUUCAUUCUCUUCAGUCGUGCUCCUGUACAAUAGUGUGUCUGCCCUAACUGCACUCCUAAACAAAGUGAAAUGCAUCUCAAGUGCACAGAAAAUACAAAGUACACUAAGUGCACACAAAGCAUGAAGUUGUUUUGUCUACUCACAUCAUAUGUGUUUUCAUGAGUAUAUUUGAUGUACAAUAUAUUGUGGGUGCCUUGGCUGACCAAAUAUCCUUUCUUUUUUUCUCUAUGCAAACGAGAAGACGUUCAAGACAAGAAGUCGGCUAGCCAUAGAAAAUACUGAUGUGCAAGUGCAUGUGUGCGUUUAAUCUGUUGCAUGGAUGGUUGAAGUAAUAAUUUUGUUAGAAGGGGGCAAGAGAUUUAUGGCGAAUGAUCAGACAUCAGCUUCAUCUGCAGGAAGGUUGAAAAAUGUAAGAAAUGGUUCCCAAAUCUGUGGAACAAAAAGUCCACCAACCAGAGUGACUGUCUACAUAGGCUGUUCUUGCCUUACCAUCUGAGAUGACCCACAGGAGUGUCUCAUGAAAUAGUGCCCCUAUGGCAGCAGGCAUACUGGACCUUCAUCAUCAUGGUUACAAUAAUAACCAUGCAGUUAAGUGGUCAUGGUUAGGUUUAGGCACAAAAGCAAUUUGGUUAGGUUUGGUUUCAUUUAAGUAAGUUAGUUAGAGGACAUUGGUCGUCAUGGUUACAAUAAGUUGGUGGAACAGUCAUGGACAAAAGAGACAAUGGUGAGUAUUGGUCUCAAACAGGAAACAAACAGCAUCAAUGUGUCCUGUGUUUUGCUGACCCAUCCAUCUGCCCCAACCUCCUCUCUGCUUGCCCAGAUGACCUAAGGGUCAAGAGAACAGUCUCCUCUGGAAAGCCUAUCGUGGUGUUGACAGAUUUCUCCAAUACAAAGUUAUCGAACAUUGUUGAUGUCCAGUGCGAUAAAAACUGUGGGCAAUGGGGUAGUUUCAUGGGAGGUGAUAGUUUUCAUGUACUGGAUUUGGCAUACCUGCAUUUAUCAGAAUGACUGGUUUGGAGGAAGGAAAUACUUUCUAGCUAAUUGCUGAAAGGUUAUAAACUGAUUGUUCUG